CUGGCCAACAGCAGAUAUUAUUUGAUCCGGCAUGGUCUCUUAAACAAGUCAAAUUGCUGAUGCAAAACAAUGUCUCAGAAAUACAACCAGCUUGUUCACCCUUUUUGCAAACCUCUUUUCAGGCUUGGACAACCUGGCUGCGACAGUGGAACCCUCCUAAAAAACGGGUGCCAAGAGACAUAACUGGUGUUGUGGGAACAGAAUUGGGAAUCAAUUCAGAGCUCCAGUUACCUUACAUGAACUUUUAGAAUCCAAUCUCAUGUUGAUUCACAAGCUACUGCCUACUCCCAUUGGGAUGAACCUUACUUUGGUAAAGCAACCAUUACUUCAUCAAGAUCUAAUAGAGAUCCUAGGAAAAAUCAAGGAGAAUGGACAGAAAACUCUGUCCUGAAGACUCCACGACGACACCAUGGAACCCUGCUGAUGAAGAUCUUUCGAGGGCAAUCGUCACUCACGGGGUGGUGUAAGAGCCCGUCUGAAGCCCCUCAUUUUCCAUUCUGCCUUCCGAUUGCCACAAGAAAGAAUCCCUUCCUCCACUGCAGUUCCGGCUUAGAACAGGACACAGUGCAGGUGCAACCACUGAACCGUCAUGCUGGCUGAUCCCAACAAGGCCUGGUAAGAACUUGGCAAGGACUUGGCAAGGACUUGGCAAAGACCUGACGUGGACCCAGCACGGGACAGCCUGAUGCGCGGCCUGCUUCUAAUCUCCGUUCUUAAGCCAAAUGAACUUUUGGGGUGACUCCCGGGGUCCUUCAUUGAAGACCCCUCAUCUGCCUCGUUACCAGUGUGACAAACAAAGAAUGAGAACCCUCCUCCCAAGGACUGAGACUGAGACCCCUGCUAUAGGGAGGAGGGGAAAUUGGUGGUCUGACCACUAAUGACAUGACCUGUUUCCCUUCAGUGAUUCAAAUGGACUUAUUCUUCAUUGGAUUCGUCUUGCUUUGGUGGUUUCUGUGGACUCACCUGUUCCCGCGUGGCGAUUACAAUGGACUUUCGUUGUUACACUUGCUCCCCCCUCUUUCCUCUGUGGACUAUAACUGGAGCCCCGAGUCGACCAGAACUUUGGAGACUGCCCCGACACGACAAACGGAACCCCAUCGUCCGGACCACUGAGGAUCUCGCCUGUGUUGGUAGCUAUUCCCAUACCCCUCUUCUCUCUCUCUCUCUCCUUUUAUCUCCUUUCCGA